UCAUUGCGCCAACUUGCUCACGUCAACCGGGAAGCUAUGAGUGUGGAUAUUAUACCAUGAGGCACAUGCAUAGAAUCAUAUCCGCAAACAUUGUUGACUCAUGGGAUAUGAUUUUCAAUGACACAUCUCCAAUGGAUCAAGGAGUCUUGAAGGAAG